UACGAAGGGGGCUAGCGUUGUUCGGAUUUACUGGGCGUAAAGCGCACGUAGGCGGAUCGAUCAGUCAGGGGUGAAAUCCCAGGGCUCAACCCUGGAACUGCCUUUGAUACUGUCGAUCUGGAGUAUGGAAGAGGUGAGUGGAACUCCGAGUGUAGAGGUGAAAUUCGUAGAUAUUCGGAGGAACACCAGUGGCGAAGGCGGCUCACUGGGCCAUUACUGACGCUGAGGUGCGAAAGCGUGGGGAGCAAACAGG
rnacentral:rRNA from 1 species